CCUACGGGUGGCAGCAGUGGGGAAUAUUGCACAAUGGGGGAAACCCUGAUGCAGCGACGCCGCGUGAGGGAAGAAGUAUUUCGGUAUGUAAAGCUCUAUCAGCAGGGAAGAAAAUGACAGUACCUGACCAAGAAGCCCCUGCUAACUACGGGCCAGCAGCCGCGGGAAUACGUAGGGGGAAAGCGUUAGCCGGAUUUACUGGGUGUAAAGGGAGCGUAGACGGUUAUGUAAGUCUGGAGUGAAAGCCCGGGGCCCAACCCGGGGACUGCUUUGGAAACUGUGUAACUGGAGUACAGGAGGGGAAGGCGGAAUGCCUGGUGUAGCAGUGAAAUGCGUAGAUAUCAGGAGGAACACCGGCGGCGAAGGCGGCCUGCUGGACUGAAACUGACGUUGAGGCUCGAAAGCGUGGGGAGCAAACAGGAUUAGAUACCCGGGUAGUC
rnacentral:rRNA from 1 species